rnacentral:rRNA from 1 species
UACGGAGGGUGCAAGCGUUAUCCGGAUUCACUGGGUUUAAAGGGUGCGUAGGCGGGCAGGUAAGUCAGUGGUGAAAUCCCCGGGCUUAACUUGGGAACUGCCGUUGAUACUAUCUGUCUUGAAUAUCGUGGAGGUAAGCGGAAUAUGUCAUGUAGCGGUGAAAUGCUUAGAUAUGACAUAGAACACCGAUAGCGAAGGCAGCGUGCUACACAGUUAUUGACACUGAGGCACGAAAGCGUGGGGAGCAAACAGG